AUAUGGUAAAAGGGUCUAUCUUGAAAAACACUGUUCGGGGAAAAACGGAGAAAAAUGGGUUUAAAGUUCAAACUUGUGAGCUUUUUUUAUUUGAGGGAUAAAUUGUGUGAUACUUUGUAUGGCAAUAAAGUGUAUAAAAAACUGAUAAUUUAAUUUUUAAAACCCUUAUUUCAUCUAUUUAUUUCAAAAUUAAUACCACAUUUACGUAGUUAGACGGUUUUACCGUACGGGGCUAUUGAUAUGCAAAAGGGAGUUAAUACGGCAAAACGGUCUAUCUUCGAGAUAGACCGUUUUACCAUAUUAAAUCAAAUGGAUGAUUUGUUAAAAGGGUCUAUCUCAAAGAUAGACCGUUUUACCGUAUUUAUCAAAUGCUAGAUGACUCAGUAAAAAUAAAAUGUGGAAAUGCAUGGUAUUUUACCACAUGAACCUCCACAAGCUGGAUAAUCCAGCAAAACAGUUAGUUCUUCUAAUCUGUCGCCGUCCUUGGUUUAUGAAAGUUCAUAACAUUUCUUGGGGUACUGGGGAAAAAUGAUUUGCUAUAUUGCUUUUAUAUUGAUAUUGGACACCAGCUGGUCAGUUCUAUACGGCAGGCUAAGGCCUAGUCCCUACCGCAGCGGCGGCUGGCGCGCGAAGUGUACGUCAGCCGUCGAUACAGUAGAUCUAAAUGAUCUAGCAGCUGCCUUGGUCUCGGAAUUAGGAUGAAUUAAUUAGUGUCAUUGUAUUCUGCCUUCUUUCUUCCUUACCUGUGAUUUUUUUUUCUUACGACAACCCCAGCAAUAUCCUCCCUCUAGAUGGAGGGAGGCAGCUCAGCCUCCCAACUUUCUUACGAUCCAUUGUUAUCCUCCAGGCCGGCUCGGAUGGCCUGAAUAUGCGAUGCGCGUGCGCGCUAUGCGGCGACGUACUGUCUAAGAAAAAAGUUAAGAGUUGCCGUCAUCGGGCAGUUAAUAUGGUAAAACGGUCUAUCUUUGACAUAGCAAAGAGUGGGGGUUCAUUUUUUUUUCGGAAAAACGGUCUAACUUGAAGUUAACCGUUUUUCCCGUUGAAAUAACGAAAGAUUAACAGUACAAUUUGCAUGGUAAAGCAGUCUAAGUCAGAGAUAGACCAGUUUUCCAUGGAAGCCUUCGGUUACAAGUCGGCUAUGUGCGAGAUAGACGGUUUUACCAUAAAAAUUGGACCAAAAUUUAAGAAAUUAACCUAGAUAGCCGAUGCUAUCUCGAAAGCUACG